rnacentral:lncRNA from 1 species
AGGGAGCUAUAGCAUCCCAGUACUUCUGAUUUAUUGCUCCAUAUUACUUUUGGUCAAUUGACCAUUACCUACUUCCUCCCCUGGAGGCCCAAGGAAAGAAGAGGUGGGUGUAACAUUGAAAACCUGGGAUGAUGGUAAAGGAAGCCAAAGAAAACUAGGUAAGCCCCUCUCCUCCACCCUUGAUGACAAUAGUUAUAUUUAUACCCUCACUGUAUGAUUGUAUCAUGAUUACUAUACUGUAAAUUGCCACAUCCUCUCCUCCCUCUCCACCCCACCAAGUAAUGAGAAAACUGGCCCUAGGAAGACUGUCUUUCUCCACUGGAUUAAACCUAGGUCUUCAAGAUGCAAAAUUUAUACUAGAGCUGGCCUUUCCAAACUCUCUGCAGUAUGGGGUGCUGUAAAAAAAAAAAGUUCCAGUCCAUUAUGAACUGAAACUUUUGUAAGAUACAACAAUGGGUAUGAAUGAAUAGGGGCAAAGAGAGCAAGGAAUGCAGGAAAGGUUUCUGGAUCAUAUGAAACAUGUCACUUUUAAUUGCUUUUUGGAGGUGUAAGUUAUGGUUUGGAUUUUGAAAAGAAGUUUCUUGUCUAUUUGAACUAUGUUUUUGUGAAUGCAACUGGCUUAUUUCACAAUCGAAUUUCUUAUUGUUGAAAUCAGGUACAAAAUACAAAAAUGAGCACACUUGCAUCACUGUUAAAUCCCUUUGAAGGCCUUCAAUCCUUCCUGGACCUUUCAGGCAUCCUUCAGCACAGCCAGGAAUCUGACCUCCCAGUUUUGGUGAUUGAAACUAGGGUCUCACUCAUCCUAGGCAAGCCUUUACCGUGGAGCUACAUCCUCAGACCAAUGGCACAAACUUACAUCAAUUAAUCUUUAUACACUGGUUUUCUUUUUAAUUGUUGUGGUGCUAGGGCUGGAACUCAGGGCCUCACACCUUGCUAGGCAAGUGUUGUGCCCCUGUGCUACAUUCUCCAAUCUUUAUAUACCAACAUACUUCACUUGCGUUGUGGUCAUGUUGCUUUUGCUGGGCACUUGAAGAACACAGUAUGUAUAUAACAGAGCAGUGAAAGAUAGGUUUAUAUUCUUUCAGACAAUCCCUUAAGCCUUAGCUCUUACCAGGAUGAUAGCUCUUACCAGAAUGAAGCAGUGGGUGGAGGAUUAAAAUAUCAAAGGUACCUUGGGUCAUGAACUUAAUUUGUUCUACCAUUCUGGAAAAGAUGCCACGUUUGUAUUUGUGUGGGAAAGUUUGCAAACAAAAACAAAAUUUUGCCAAACAUUUCUGUUUGCGAACUAAAUUGCAAACAAAAGUGUUCAUGAACUGAGGUGCUGCUGAAUAUAGUAAUCUAGAGCCUCCUAGAGACUCUUAUUUUUAAAACACUAACAAAGAUAUGCUGAGUAUCUUAGAAUUCUUAUGUAUUUUGUGUUCAAAUUGGCACGUGUUUAUUUCAUAGAAUAUCUUUCUAUGUCAUUAAUUUGUAGAUAUUAUUUUUGACUUAGCCUGAUGUGUGUGCAAUAUUGGAUGGUCCAGGAGUGAGUGUAGAUUGAUGCAAAGAAAAGUGGCCUGCAGCUUGGUCAGCUUGUGCUCUCCUGACAAAUUGGAUGGUGUUAGUUACAGCGUUAUAGCAUAGGCAGGGAUAACAAAACAAUAGACCAAAAAUGAAUGAUACUACUGAACCAGCUCAUUGUUUUGCAUAUGAGUAAGUGGCACAAUUUGUCCUGCAACUCUUGCAUAAACCACGCCAUUGGCUAAACUGACACUAGAUAAAGAGAACUUUCCAUGUAUAGAAAUAUUUCAGGUAAUAAAAAAAUGACAAAAUUAGAACAUCAACAUUUCACAAACUCUAAUAAAUUUGUUUUCUUUUUCUUUCUUUCUUUCUUUUUUCUUUUCUUUUUGUUUUUUGUUUUUUGUUUUGGUACCAGGGAUCAAACUCGGGACUUUGAACCUCUAAUAAAUUAAUAGACCAAAAUUUUGAUCAUUCACGUCUGAAAACAUCAAGAGAAACAACCAGACAUUGCAUGGCUCUUAAUAGAUGCUCCUAACAAUGUCUGUAAAUUUAUCUUACCCCAAAUUCCAAACUGAAUCUGCUUAAGUCUCUACCAACUUAUGGAAAGUCGAAUUGUUUUCACUUGAAUGGCUGUAUCUUAGGUUGGACUAUACAAAUUUGAAUGUUCAUUCUUCCAGUUUGAUCUCUCUGAGGUUCCUGAAGCAACCGAGAGGUUACCCAUCCUCCCAUCUCUAAGCCAAGAAAACAAGGCUUCACCUUGGAUGCUUACACCUGAGAGGCUUUAAAAAUUGCUUAUGUGUGGAGCUAGAGAUAUUGAGCUAGAGCUCUUACCUGGUUCCAGCCCUAUUACCAUAAACAAACAAACUGCACAUGGCUUCACCUAGUCACACUAUGGCAUUAUAGUCUCAUUAUACCAUUUGUGACAUAACCCUAAAUAAAGGUUAUGGCACAGCUGAAAUGUUGGCAUUAAUAGAUGAUUUAUUUUUGGUAGAUUAAUGAGUGUUCCAUUAUAAAACCACAUUAAUAAUGAAGGCAUAGUGGUUUCUUUAGAAAUGUUUUGAGUGUUGAUGUUUAUUUGGCUGUCUGCCAUGUUUCCUUCCUCAUAAUAAUUAUCAUGUUCCAUCCUCCUUUGGACCAUAAGUCUAAGUUUCUAUGUCAGUAUCUGACAAUUAAACAUCUGAUGUCAAUUUAGUCAUUUCCUGUCUUCUAUAGGAAGCUGACAAGAAUUAUUUUAUAAUUCUUAUGGGAUCCAUGUGUUCAUUUUCUGUGAUUUUAUAGAUAGUACUAGGUCUGUUACUAGAGGGAUGAUAAUGGCCACUGUGGCCAUUGUCCCAGUCCUAAAAAUCAUACAAAUAGUCAUUGUCACAUAGUGGUGUAUCAUUUUCCAUAGCGACUAGUAGAUCUCAGCUGGUGAUAGCUUUUCCUCUCCUUUUGGAGACUAGGUUCUUGGUCAGGGAUUUUUCCUUGUUAUUUACCUUUAUGUUUUCAGCAACUUUAAAUACAAAUGAUAGAAUUUCAUCUUGAGCAGCUCUUUUUUUUUUUUUGCGGUGCUGAGAGUUGAACUCAGGGUCUUCAUACUGAGUAACAUCCCUCGCGCUUUUUAUUUUUUAUUUUGAGACAGUGACUCACUAAAUUGCCCAGGCCAGGUUUGAAUUUACAAUCUUCCUGCCUCAGCCUUCUGGAUUUCUGGGAUUAUAGGUGUGCACCACUACACCUGGCUCUGAGCAACUCCUUUCACAGUUGUGUGCAACUCAAUGGAUUGGUGAUCUGGACAACAUCUGGAGUGUCCCGUAUUUUUAAUAUCAGUGUUACUAGAUCCUCAAUAGGUCUCCACAGCGGAUUAAAACAUGGUCUUUAGUACCUUAAAUUAGUUUAAGAAGUGCAAACAAACUAGCCAUAUUUAGAGACAAUGUUCAGUCCUUUACUUUUAUGUAUACCAAAUAUAUAAAACUUGUUAAUUUGUUAUUCUUAUAAAGAAUAGUAUCCAAAUCCAGAAAAACAAUAAAGAAUAAAAGUGGUAUGUAUUCCUCUACUCUUACAUACUUAUUGUCCGUGCAAGCAGAAUUCUGCUAUCCAGUUAAAGUUUCUGAAAGUACUAAGUACAUUAUUAUUUAUGUUAGAAAAGUUUUGCACUAUCCAAUUAACUUUGCAGAAGUGUUUGUGAGCAUGACCUAGAAUUUCUGCACUUUGUUAAACUCCUAGAAAUUCUUCCCCAUAAUUGGAGUUGAUAAUGCAGUGGCAUAUUAAGAGUGCAGAGGAGGGACCGGGGAUUUAGCUCAGUGGUUCCGCUGCCUGUCUCGCAAGCACAAGAUCCGGAGUUCAAUCCUCGGUUAAAAAAAAAGUAAAAAAGUACAGAGGAUUAUUUUGCAAUUUCCUUUCUUUGCUAUAAUUUCACUCAAAUUAGAUUCAUUAAAUUUUAAAUUUGAACUUUGUUCAACUAUUCACCUCUAUGCACUGUGUGAAAUCUCACUGACUCUACCAGUUGUUGAUAGUGGAAAUGAGGAGAUGAUCACAGUGUGAUUUCAUGAAUUGCAGUGUUUAUUGCCAUAGAAAGAGAACUUGUUUUGUGGUGGUUCUUUUGGUAC